AUUGAACGCUGGCGGCAGGCCUAACACAUGCAAGUCGAGCGAGCGGCGGACGGGUGAGUAAUGUAUGGGGACUUCCCGAUAGAGUGGGAUAACUACUGGAAACGGUAGCUAAUACCGCAUACUAUCGGAUAACCCAUAUGGGAUGAGCUAGUAGGUGAGGUAAGGGCUCACCUAGGCGACGAUCCCUAGCUGGUCUGAGAGGAUGAGAAGCGACCAUGGGACUGAGACACGGCCCAGACUCCUACGGAUGCAGCAGUGGGGAAUAUUGCACGAUAGGCGCCAGCCUGAUGCAGCCAUGCCGAGUGUAUGAAGAAGGCGCUAGGGUUGUAAAGUACUUUCAGUCGGGAGGCGGUAACGACAGAAGAAGCACCGGCUAACUCAGUGCCAGCAGCCGCGGUUAUUC
rnacentral:rRNA from 1 species